AACGAACGCUGGCGGCGUGGAUAAGACAUGCAAGUCGAGCGGAAUACAUCGGGUAGCAAUAUUCGGUGUGUUCAGCGGCGCAAGGGUGCGUAACACGUGGGUAAUUUGCCAUGAAGUUUGGGAUAACUUGCUGAAAGGCGAGCUAAUACCGGAUGUGACUUUUGGGAGGCAUCUCUCGAAAUUCAAAGCUGGAACCGUAAGGUCUGGCGCUUCUUGAUAAGCCCGCGGUCUAUCAGCUAGUUGGUGAGGUAACGGCUCACCAAGGCUAAGACGGAUAGCUGGUCUGAGAGGACGACCAGCCACACUGGAACUGAGACACGGUCCAGACACCUACGGGUGGCAGCAGUCGAGAAUUUUUCACAAUGGGCGAAAGCCUGAUGGAGCGACGCCGCGUGGGGAU
rnacentral:rRNA from 1 species